CUAUCCCCAGUUCAAUGGUAUAGAAGUGUAUUUUGCCUACAGGGAACGUGGUGAGCAAAUAAUACAAUUUCUGUGGUUAAUAGCUUGAUAACUGAGGUUGUCCCAAAUGUUAUAGGUUCUUAUUAGGAAGAGAAAGAUUGUAAGAGAAAGAUUGUAAGCCACAUGCCAAAACUCAAAGAGAUAAUCAUUGUCAUAAUUGGACAUGUGUAGACAAUAUCAUCGUAAACCUGUCAAAAAGAUCAUGUUAGGAUAAAAACUGAAAAGGACAGUGGUCAAACUUUGGUAUUUUUAUGCCUUAUAUCCUCUUAUAAAACUAUAACCUUCAACUAAAAACCAGCUAAGUGGUUCAUCAAAGCAAAUGUAGUGAACUAGAUACAGAUCUGUGAAAGUACAUUAUAUUGACUAUUUUCCUUUUUCAGCAAUUUCUUAAAAAAAAAAUCAUUAUAAUCCCACUACCAUUUCCUGUUGAUCAGUGUGAAGGAGUGAAAUGCCAGUCCAUUGAGUGAGUUGGAAACUCUUCAUGUCUACAAUCAAAAGCUUGGCUAAAUCCUUGCAUUUCUUUUUGUAUUUAAUUAGACACUCAAGAUAUAGAGACAAGAUAUAGAGACUUUCUUGGAAAGUCCAACUAGUUGCAUGACUAAGCCUUAAUUAAAACAAGGACCUGGUUCUGCUUCUGCUGCGUCCUGGGAGGAAGUAACCAUGGGAGCUACUCGAUAAGUCUUUCUUCAGAAACAUAAAACCCCAGCUCCCUACAAAGAAGUGAGAAGUGAAAACUUGCACCCACUCCUACAUGUAGUGGUUCCUAGAUUUAUUGUGAUCAUAAGAAAUGGAAUAUUAUGUGAUAUAUGCUAAUUGAUAUGCCACAGCAGUGAUUGGAGCCACAGCAAUGACAAUGCUGAAUCCUUAAUCUGCUGAGCUACGAGGGAACUCCAAGAAAGUUUGACAUGGAAACUAUAUGUAGUUUAAUAUACAAAUUUAUAUUCAAGAAAUAUUCUCAAAUUCCUCAAAAAAUUCUGGUAUCAAAAUUGGUUUUCUAGUAUAGGUCUUUAGUUCCUUCUUAAAAAUGUGGUGAUAAUUCCUAAACACUGUAAUUACAGAGAUAGUUCAGGUCAGGACUGAAAUUUUCUUGUAGAUUUUUGAAAUCCACUAUAAUGGUCAACUUCGUGUUGUACAACACCUCUUUCUCACUUCUGGGCACGUCUUACCAGCCACUAGAUCGUUCUUAAUCUUUGCUUAUGCACUCAUACAAGGCUUAUGUUGACAUCCUAGUGUUGAUUAACCAUGUUAUUUGGAAGAUUUUCUUAUAUUAUUUCAUUUUUUUAUGGCCACAUUUAGGGCAUAUGCAAGUUCCCAGGCCAGGGAUUAAAUCCAAGCCACAGCUGCAAGCUCUGCCACAAACUGCAGCAAUGCCAGAUCCUUUAGCCCUUGGCACUGGGCCAGGGAUCAAACCCAUGCCUCUGCAGUGACCUGAGCUAUUGCAGUUGGAUUCUUGACCUCGCUGUGCUAACAGUAGGGACUCCUGGAAGAUUUUCUUCGUGUGAUAUGCUCUGCUAACUGCUGACCACCUUCUUCCUAUUAUAAAAAGUGACAAGACAAAGUUCUGUUUUUCUCUUUCUCUAACCUGAUCAUUCUAGGCCUUGCUUGUCUCUGAAGUAAUAAUGAUGAGCAAGCCAAGGUAAUGAGAGGCACAUUUAAAACAUUUUAAGAUAAAUCUCCCUCCUUGGUACCUAGAGAUCAGUUGGAUUCUCCGUUCCUCAGCAACAUGGUUUGACUUGGCUAAAGCUUUUAUAGAUGAAUCUUUAUCUCACUCUCCACUGAGCCAUUGUAACUCGUCUUCUGCCCAGUAAUCUGUCUAGAAUCGGGUGACUUUGUUGAUACACAGUAGUGUUAUGAGUUAAAAUUUUGUGUUUCCCCAAGAUUUAUAUGUUGAAGCCCUAACCCCCAGGGUGAUUGGCAUUUGGAAAUGAGGCCACCAAAGUUAGAUGAGGUCAUAAAAGUGGGGCCCUCAUGAUGAGAUUAGUGCCCUUUACAAGAACAGACACCAGAGCACCCUCCCCCAUAACUGUUCCCAGCAAGAAAGCAAGCCAUCUGCAAGCCAAGAAGAGAACCUCAUCAGAAUCUGAUUAUACAGGCACUCUGAUCUCAGACUUCACAUUCCAGAACUAGGAGAAAAUAAAUUUCUGUUUACAAUGCCCAGCGUGUGGUACUUCGUUAUAGCUGAUCUAGAUGAGCAAGCCCCCAGGUACUCAACAUUAUUGAUUGCUUUUUUGAUUGAUGGUCAGGAUCCUAAUAUCUUGUCAAUCAGUUUGUUUUUUAACUUAGCCUGACAACCUGUGAGCACUAUGAAUUCAAUAAAAUAAAUUCAUAAAGCCUUUAGCAAAGCAUCUGCCAAUUUUUGUCCGAGACAAAUGGACAGAUCCUCCCAUCCUUUUUUCAUUGGUCUGAAAGAGUGAGUCAACAAUGGACAUCAUAGAGUGAAUUCACAGAAGACAUGCAGACAAGCAAUGUAGACUUCUACAGCUCAGAAAGUGGACCGCAUUUGCUGCCAGAACUCAUAACUCAGCUCUGAGUGAAGCGAGGCUGGUCUGUGAUUGCCUAGGAAAGUUUCAGACAUUGCUCUGAAUGCUAGAACAUGCCUGAAUUGUAUUAAUGAUUGUAAUCACAAGAACUAAAAGCAAGUACAAUAGUAUUAAGCCUGAAAAGCAGAAAGUGCUGGCAUGACAGAUGAUUCAUUGCAUUUUAUGCUGAAAUGAAUAUGAUUUUAGUAACUUGUGGAACUGACUCUCCUUAUCGGUGAAGUUUCCAACUUUUUACAAAAUAUUUCUUGAUAACUUGUCUGAAAGAUGAGCUUAUUUAUAGUUGGUUUGGGGAAUAUUAACUGAGAGUGGAAAGCAAACCUUAGCAUGCCACUAAUCCUGCUUUUUCUGUACAAAGUAGAAAAAUAAGCCCUGUGUCUUUAUUUCGUACUCCAUUGUGCUUGAGUUGAGAAAAAUGAGCAUCCAAGUAUUCAUAUAACUUCCUGAAUUUUGUAGCACUGUGUCCUAUUGCGAGCUUAUCUUUGAGAACCUCCUUAUUAAAUUCAUAUAAAUGAAUCUCAGUUAAAAUGUGAAGGCUUAUUUUUUGCCUUUUAAAGUAUGCCAGUUUAUUAAUUUCAUAUGUUCCAUUGUUACCAUUUUGACAGUCUUUCUGAUUGUUGUCCUCGCUCAUGUUCUGUUUUUAUAUUUAAUAUGUUAAGGUAUUUUUGAGGGGGUGCUGUCUCUCAAAAUCUGUUUCAAAUAGAAGAGGGCUCCUCAGUACUGAUUCUGAUGCUGACUUAAUGCUAGCAAGGCUAUAUAAUACGCAAGCUGCAGAAACGUUGAUCCCAUAGGUCUGGAGUAUGGUCUAGGGAACUAUAUAUUUUUUAAACAAGCUUACCGUUUCAUUUUGAUGUGCAGCCAAGAAUGAGGACCACUGAUAGGGAGAUGUUAUAGCUGGCACCUUUCUUCUUUGUAAUGACCAAGCCCAUCAUUUGAUAUUUUAAAGCUCUCGCCCUGUGAAGCAAAGUUUAAUUCCUAUUUUAAAAGGAUGUAGUUUUCAAUAAGGCAUACCUUCCCUUGGCCUGAGGUUCUUAAUCUGUAGAAUAUAACAUGGACAUUAUCUCUAAGAAUUGAUGAACUUGUAAUGCAAAUAGGUUUCUUUUAAUUCUGAACAAUUUUGCUAGGUUCUCCAUUAUGCUUUUAUGACCAACUUUAGUCUUUGCUAUUUUUAUGAUGACUCAGGUUAGCUUGGGAAUACAGUGUAUCCUCAGUGUAAUUAUAUCUUCUAUCUAGUCAGGGGUUUAUUCUCUUCUCUACAUAGCGCUCUUUGAAAUGUUUACCUUUGAGGACACAUUUCUUCAAUAGGCCUGCUGAUUGGAGAUAGAUUGGCUCUGGCCAAUUUAUCCCUAUUGAAACAAUGACACAAAAUAUACAUCCUACUGAUCCUAGGUGGAUUAUCUUGUCUUUAUGUUAGAAAUGCAUAGAGAUAACACAUAAAACUAUGUAAUGCUAUAAUCUCUUGAUUAAAAAUUAAUAAACUAAUGAUUCUGAGUAUUCUUAUAUGCUGAUUGUUGAGAAGGCAAAAAGAUGAUAAAAAUUAGUGUAAUAGGAAAGAUAAAUCUUCUACCUCAUUUCAUCAUAUCACUGCAAUGACAGUGUCUUUGUAGCUACUACAAAACACAUAGGCAGGUCUGCAGAACUAAAGAAAGCUUUUGGUGGAAGUGACACCUUUCCCCCAAAGGUAGAAAUAUUACACUAGUUUAAAGGAAUAUAAUUACAGAAAAUCAAAAGACCACUAAGAUUCCCAAUGAUUGCUGUGACUGAUAAACAUCUAUACUAUCAGAUCAAAAUAUCGAUCACUCAAACAUGACAUUCUCAGUUGCUUUUUCUUCUCUGAAGCCUAGUUACCUCUGCCCAUUCUUUUUUUUUUAUUGGAUUUUUUUGGUGAGUAUAUAUUUCAGGAGACAUUUGUAAAAGCAAGGAGGUGAUUAAUAAUGCAAACCAACUGAAAUGAUGAUGCAGUGCCAUUCAUGCUGAUGAGGAGAGACCGGAAAUUUGAAGUGCCAAUGGUCUUGCCUGAUUGCUCUGGAAAAUGAAAACCAAAGCUUAGAUAUUUGGAAACAAUUUGAUUAGAGACAGGUGAAAGCUUUUGGUUAUUCUAGAUGCCUUGUGGCUUUAAGGUUGAGUCUCUGAUAGCCGGUUCAUGUUCAGACAGCAUAUUUCAGAAUGCUGCAAGGGCCAAGUCUGUGCUUCAUCUCAGCGGAGACAUGGUUUCAGACUUUGGGAAUGAAGAAGUUUAAGGUCAUACAGUGUGCUCUCCAAGUGCAAAGAUGCUAAUUAGAUUAUGGAUUCCCAACAAUUCCAUGGAUUCACUUCAUUUUGCCCAGCCGCAAGACAGAGGCAAUUAAAAUGAUUAGCCUUUGAUAAUAUUUGGGUUGUCUAUUGCUCCCUUUUUGCUGUCUUUAAAGGGAGUGAUCAUCCAGAUUCUCAGCUGGCUUUUAUUCUAUACCAUUUUCCUUAGUUUGUAUAGUAAUUGUAAAGCGUUUUAGAAUACAGUAGACUUUAAAGUUUUAUUUAAUUACAUGACUUCUUUAGACACCAGAUGCUUCUUCUACAAUAUUCCAUUUCUAUCAAAAUCAAGUGAAACUUGAAGUCCUUGGAAAGCAAAUGAACUUGUUACUACAGCUAUAGGAUUGAAGAAAACCGCAGGAUCUC
rnacentral:lncRNA from 1 species